rnacentral:rRNA from 1 species
AUUGAACGCUGGCGGCAUGCCUUACACAUGCAAGUCGAACGAAAAUUAGCUUCGGUUAAUUUUAGUGGCGGACGGGUGAGUAACACGUGAGAAUUUGCCUUUAGGAGGGGGAUAACGAGUGGAAACAUUCGCUAAAACCCCAUAUGCCCACGGGUGAAAAAGAGGAAACUCUGCCUGAAGAGAAGCUCGCGGCUGAUUAGCUAGUUGGUAGGGUAAUGGCCUACCAAGGCGACGAUCAGUAGCUGGUCUGAGAGGACGAUCAGCCACACUGGAACUGAGACACGGUCCAGACUCCUACGGGAGGCAGCAGUGAGGAAUUUUCUGCAAUGGGCGAAAGCCUGACAGAGCAAUACCGCGUGAGGGAUGAAGACUUACUGAGUUGUAAACCUCGGUGCCUUAAGGAAGAAGAUCUGACGGUACUUAAGGUGGAAAGCAUCGGCUAACUCCGUGCCAGCAGCCGCAGUAACAC